ACUUGAGCACUCUGUGAUUGGCGGGUCCAGGGAACCUCUCCGAGAAGCUAUUGGUCGCUCUUUCUGCCUAUUUCCUUGCAGCUGGCUGCAAAGGGUAGGUCACUGGGCUGGGGAACCAGUUCACUCUCCUCCCCCUCCACCCAUACACAUCGACCACAUUCCUGAAAAGCCAUGUGAUCCACCUCAUUGACUCCUUUUUGCACAGCUGUGGGAGGAAGAAGCGGGUUAGCUACGGCUCCAUCUUCCUGGGACAGAGCCCCCAGAUGUGGCCUUGCUUCCCCACAUUCAAAUCGUAGUGGAGGAUUUCAUACUAUAAAUGUGUAAACUGCAACAUAUCUAUGGUUUAAUAGAUAGAUUCUAGAGAAUUUUCUCUAUGACUGAGACUUGGCCAGAAUUCCACAACAGCUAGCAGCCUUCUUACCCUGGAGAUGGCCAGCCUGAAGUCUUCUAUUCUAACUGGUGUGAAGGCCUGGCCCUGUUCAUCAUUUCGUGAAAUAUCCAAAUCAUGCUCACUUCACUUGAGUCUUCACUGUGGGCUUGCCUACAGCUUUGCCCUUCUAUAUGUAUUUUCCUCUUACCUUUUACCCCCUUCUUGAUCCUUAUGAGUUACCUUCUUUGUUUAUA